rnacentral:rRNA from 1 species
UACGAAGGGGGCUAGCGUUGCUCGGAAUCACUGGGCGUAAAGCGCACGUAGGCGGCUCUUUAAGUCAGAGGUGAAAUCCUGGGGCUCAACCCCAGAACUGCCUUUGAUACUGAGGAGCUUGAGUCCGGGAGAGGUGAGUGGAACUGCGAGUGUAGAGGUGAAAUUCGUAGAUAUUCGCAAGAACACCAGUGGCGAGGGCGGCUCACUGGCCCGGUACUGACGCUGAGGUGCGAAAGCGUGGGGAGCAAACAGG